UCAAACAUGUGUACGUAAUACAUGGAAUAUGUAGAAACAUUAGAAUUUUUCAUGCAGAAUGUAGUUAAAUGAAAGGCUCAUGGAUACACCACUGACUGUACAUCCGUAUAACUCUAUACGUACGUACUACUUUUACGUCCGUUACAACGGGCGUCGUUCCGACGUUCGUGUGGCCGCAGCCUAAAGGUUCCCCUGGAGAACAUUCGCCGAGCGAACAGGUUCAGAUUUCGGAAAAAAUCCUUUCGAUUUAUGCUCAUUGACGGCGACUGCCGGCUUCGUGAAACAGAAUAGACGGAGAGGCGUGGUCGUGGGAUUCACGAUGCUUGCCGAGAAAACGACUGAUAUUUAUUAGGUAGCUGAGACCGAUCGAACAGUCUUUCGUCGAUACUUCAACGAUGUGUCGAGGAUUUUUAAAUUCUGAUGUUUGUCGUACGAUAUCCAUAUGCUACGAGAAUUACGAGGAUUAUAGCGUUAGUGGUUUAGGAUUAUUUGAUGAAAGAAUCGUAAUUGAAAUGAUAUUGCAAGAGAAAAAUAUUUUGAAUGAGAAAUAUUUUUCUCUGGUAUAUUUGAAUCAAAAGUAUCGCAAUAUUUUCUGUGAUUCGUUGAAUCGUAGACAACGACAGUGUAGCUCUUUAAAAGUACGAUAAUACGAAUGAAAUUUUUGCAUGUAUACUAUGAACUACUAAUUAAGAAGGAUUUUGCACAAUGCUGAUUUGUUAAAUAACAACCAUAGAAGAUAAUGCGUUCAAGUUACUUGAGUAUCUAAACAAAUUUCCAACGAAGAUCUUAAUUAUAAAUAUAUCAUGACUAAAUUAUUCAACCAUUUAACGUUUUCUCUACCGAUCUGUCUCAACGACCAGAGAACUUGCAACUUUCUUCACCUUUUUAUCUUACAAUCGAAACUUUAUACAUAUCAAAAAAUAUUUAGUCGUUGCUUCAAAUAAAAUUGUAUUUACGCAUUUAGUAGUUUGAAUAACACUACUAAAGGGUGAACUCGCUUUGAAGAACAGCGAACAGUAUUCUCGUUGGCAUCAAUGGAGCUCAAUGAAUCACCGAGCCAUUAAGUACUCGCUCUCUCACCGGCGCGGCGGAUAGGUGAGCGGCACAAUGUAAAUGCCGAUUUUUCUGUUUUUUAUGCUUGAUUACAACAAGUGUUUGCUCACGCAAUGUGCGAGGGCUUUAACCCGGAGAGUAGACGGCCACGUAGGCAGAUGAAAGAUGCGGUGCACGUUACACGAACGUCGUCCUCAUCUAGGUGACGAUUCAUGAAUCUCAGAAUAAAUCGCGCGAGAGUAAUAUGCGGCCACAUAAACGCCACACUAAAUUGUACGCUAUAAAUCGUUGUAUUUAGCAAAAGCUGUUAUAAUAAUAUAGCCUGGAAGCAUGCGUAUCUAUGCGUUAGAAUGGUGUUCCCAAUAAAAAGUAACUACGAAGAUGGUGAAUGGGUGUAGUCGAGAGUUAAUCGGUGUAAUAAAACUUAAGUUUAAUCAGAGAAAAUAA